rnacentral:lncRNA from 1 species
AGUGUACGAACGCAGCAUUACAUCAUUGUGCAAAAAGUAACCUGGAUUGUACGUACCUUAGAUUUGUAUUGAUAUCAUUGGUGAUUCAAUUUAUUUACCCUCACUUCAAUUUCCACUUUACUUCCACUUCUGAUUCUUCUCAUUUGUUUUUUAGUCCGUCCUUGCUCUUUCUCUUUCUCUGCCAGUUUGACAUUUUGAUAUCUUCUUUGUUAUUCAUUCUCUCAGCAAAAAGUUAUUAAUUUCCCUAAAUUGGUUUGACUUCACAUAGGAAACACUCUUAUGUCUCCAGCUCCAGAACGCUCAAAAUCAACUUUCAUACGGUUUCCGUCUCCUGCUUCAGUUUCAGAGAUAAAAAUAAUAUGCUCUUCUCCUUCUCCUUCAAAGGUCGUCUACCUCUUCGAGUGAGUUUCUCAACUUUUUCUAUCUUCCUUUUCUCUUGGAGUUCGCUGAUGUCUUUUGUGCAUGCCGCCUUCUCUGUCCUUGUGAGCUUUUCGGCAUUCUUUCUCUGUUUAAGAUAUCCAGUUGUUGCUAAUUGAACUUUGGUAGACCUCUAUUACAGUCAUCUACUUUUCUGAUAGGUUUUUCAUUUUUGUUGGAUUUUUUACAUACUUUAUUUAAUUUAAGAAUACAUGUUUGGAAUAAGAUACAUUCAUACAAAAUUUUGAUAUUUGAUGAACACAAACUUUAUUUUCGGGCAAUCAACCUUAAUUCCCUAUUUCCCCUCUUUAUUUUGGGAAUUUUGUUUAUCUAUUUUUCUGUUAAUUUCUACAAAUAUCUACUCACUUCAUUCCUAUUUGAAGCUCUAAGAUUGUUGGUAUGGGGAUAAGUAAGUGAUGUAAGCAAGAUUAAUAACGACUUGAUUACAAAUGACAAAAUAUUGAACUAGAGUAGUAUACAUUACACUCUUUUUUAAAUCUCAUUGUUUGAGUUAUUUGAGGCACCUAACCCUCAGGGUUGGCCUGGUGGCAAUUGACUUGAGCCUUGGGGUUUGCUCCCUUUCAAGGUCUCAUGUUCGAAACCCACUGGGUGCAAACAAUUUCUGAGGGUCAUCGGACUGGGUAACACCUGAAUUAACCGUGGUGCACUUGCGGGAAACUCCUUGCCGAGGGCCUGUGCACCCCGGGAUUAGUCGGGGCUCUUAGAAACUCGGACACCCGGUGCAAAUCCCAAAAAAAAAAAAGUUAUUUGAGGCACCCCAAAUGUUCGACGAUAUGUCAAAAAUAAUUAACUACAUAAUAUUUUUUUUUUCCUUUUGACUGCUCUUCUAUCGUUCAUUGUGUGUAUUUCUACUACAAGAUUGCCUCUGUUUGUUUCUAAUUUAAAAACGUGCCACUUUUUAUCUAACUUUACCUUUUCAAGAAAAAAUAAAGAUGACUUUAAAGUUGCUCAAAAUUACCCAAAUUGUAAAUAUAAUUUUAUGAAGUUAUAAUUGAACUAUUUGGAACAUGAGUAUUGAAAGAUAAAGAUAUUGCUGAGCCGAAGGUUGGGGGUUUAGAUUAUCCAUUUCUUUGCAUGACCUUCUUUUGAUAGACUUGAGUGUUCCAAUGAUGGUGAAGAAGUUGGUCGAUUAAAAUAGACAAGAAGGAGGACAUUUAUUACGCUAUUUUUGUACCUUGUGAAGAGCAAAAUCAACUGCUCCUCUUUGUUGUAAGAUUACUUGAAAGUUAAAACAUCAGAGGUUUAAUACAAUAGGUGAUUGAUGGUCAAAAGUUGGAAACAAGAGAAGUGUUAAGAAAAGCGAUGAAGAUGUUGUGUGUUUACAUAUUUAACCUAAGGUUUCACUACUUGUGCCACUUAGAUCUCCAGGAUAUAUGAAGUGUUAAUGCCAUCUAUAUUCGAGCUGAUGAAAUCUUAACACUUUGGGGAGCAUAGGUCAUCCUGAAUGGAGUAAAAGUAGCAUAAGACAUUAUGAGUGGAAGAGCUCAAGGCGAAUGUCUUGAAUAGCGACAAAGGUUAUACAAAGUUACAAUAUUGUUUGUAUUCUGUAUUUAAAUCCAAUUUAGUGAGUCACACUCUUCGUUUUACUUCUUUGAUAUUUGUUCGUGGUUGAGAAUAUUUUGUGGAUGUAGUAAUCUAACAGCUAUUACUUAUGUUUGUGUUCAAGAAAUUCAUUGAAACAUAUAUCAUUUGUUUGCAUCUGUUUCAAUUGCAGUUUGGUAUUAACCGCCUAAUUUUGUGUCUAUCAGUAUCAGAAAAAAUUAGAAUUAUACCAAAUUUAAAAUUUUACUUCAACAAAAUAAAAAGACUUGGAACAGGAAUGUCGACAAAUAGAGGGUCAAGAAGAGUAAGUGAUAUCAUUCUCUAUUCUUGCUUCUUCUUUUUUAACCCCUGGUCUAUAUUUCUUCUUUUCAUUUUGUUUUGGUAUUGAAAUUGGCAGCUCAAGGGUGUUGAAAAGAAAAGAACAUGUGGUACCUGUAAUUCUGGAGAUUAGUCAAAUUAUAAAUGGCAAUAUCACCAACACUAUGAAUGUCUUUGUUUGUCAUAUGAUAGUGUUUGCAAAUAACUGCUUGGUUUUGCAGAAAUUGAAGCUAUAACUUUGGUUCUUGUAAGUGUUUGCCAAUUUUGAUGUUAAUAUUUUUGAAAAGCAAUGUGGUCAUGUGUAGGGAGAUUGUAAUGUUACUGUCCAUGUAUAGUCCUGCACGCAGCGUUGAAGAUGUCUUAACUUUUAGAAAGGAACUUUUCCCCGAGACAGUAGUGGUGCUUCUUGGCCAUAAUAUUAGAUUGCUUUCUUAUAUCUAGAAACCCAAAUGUGAGGUGAUAUGAUGUAGACAAUUCUCAUGGUUAAUAGCAUAUAUUUAACUAGUAUUAUUUUUCUUAAGGUUCUUGAUACUAUUAUAUUCAUUAGUGCUGUUGUAGCUGGAAUUUCAAAUAUUUGGUGGUUUAGGGUUGCGGACAGUUCCAGUAGUUAAUAAUUUGAUACUUGUUAACCGUGAAUCAUAUUCUGAUUACUUGGUUGUGUAGCAAUCUGGAAUUCAAAUUGUGAGGUGGUUUACAUAAGUUAAUAAUGUAUCCCGUUCUUAUUUUGGGAUAGAUUUGAUCAUGUUAUAAUAUUCUUUCACGUUAUUGCAGCUGAAAUCCCAAAUGUGAUAUUGUUGCAGCAAAUCAUUCACAUGGGAACAAUGCUUGUGAAGAGCAUAAGAUGGUGGAUGUGCUUUAUGUAAUAGUAGUAGUUUUACUCCAUCCAGUUUGUUGUACAUAUCUGUAGUGUGGUUUGUUUUCAUAGAAACAACGUGACUUGACUAUGUUAAUGUUUUGGUUUCUUUUUAAUUCUAAGCUCUAUUUCAGCUCCCAAUUCUGCCGUCUUCAACAUUUUUCAAACAAAACUAAUUCUAUGUCCUUUGGUUGUUUGAAGUCAGCUUUGUAAUUAUAUUUGCCGG